rnacentral:rRNA from 1 species
CGAACGAAGCUUUCUUUCACCGAAUGCUUGCAUUCGCCGAAAGAAGCUUAGUGGCGAACGGGUGAGUAACACGUAGGCAACCUGCCCAAAAGAGGGGGAUAACACUUGGAAACAGGUGCUAAUACCGCAUAACCAUGAACACCGCAUGAUGUUCAUGUAAAAGACGGCUUUUGCUGUCACUUUUGGAUGGGCCUGCGGCGUAUUAACUUGUUGGUGGGGUAACGGCCUACCAAGGUGAUGAUACGUAGCCGAACUGAGAGGUUGAUCGGCCACAUUGGGACUGAGACACGGCCCAAACUCCUACGGGAGGCAGCAGUAGGGAAUCUUCCACAAUGGACGAAAGUCUGAUGGAGCAACGCCGCGUGAAUGAAGAAGGCCUUCGGGUCGUAAAAUUCUGUUGUCAGAGAAGAACGUGCGUGAGAGUAACUGUUCACGUAUUGACGGUAUCUGACCAGAAAGCCACGGCUAACUACGUGCCAGCAGCCGCGGUAAUACGUAGGUGGCGAGCGUUGUCCGGAUUUAUUGGGCGUAAAGGGAACGCAGGCGGUCUUUUAAGUCUGAUGUGAAAGCCUUCGGCUUAACCGAAGUAGUGCAUUGGAAACUGGAAGACUUGAGUGCAGAAGAGGAGAGUGGAACUCCAUGUGUAGCGGUGAAAUGCGUAGAUAUAUGGAAGAACACCAGUGGCGAAAGCGGCUCUCUGGUCUGUAACUGACGCUGAGUUCGAAAGCGUGGGUAGCAAAC